rnacentral:sRNA from 1 species
UAGGGGAUAGAGAUAUAGGACGUCAUGCACAAAACUUCUU